rnacentral:rRNA from 1 species
AUGGCGGCGGCGACCGCUCCGGCCACUGCGACGAAGCUGGCGGCGGAUGAGUACACGGCAGAGUUUGCGGGAGUGCCUGUGGGGGCACCGCUGGGGGCGCCGGAGGGCGUCGCGGAGACCGCGGACGGCGUCAUCGCAGAGGGAGCAUCGGUCGGUGCGUCGGUGGGCGGGGCCGGGGGAGAGGCCAUCGGGGACGGCGACGCGGCGGUGGGCGGGGUGGCGAGCGGCGCAGGAGCAUUGGUUGGAGACCUUGCCGGAGGUGCGGGGAGCGGGGCCAUCCUGGGGGCCGGUAGCGGGGCCAUCCGGGGCGCCGGCAUGGGGCCCUGCGCGGCGGCGGCGACUGCGAGGAGGGCGAGGAUGGCGGCUACCACGGCGAAGCGAGCCAUCUGGUAG